UACAGAGGGGGCAAGCGCUGUUCGGAAUUACUGGGCGUAAAGGGCGCGUAGGCGGCCUGUUAAGUCAGACGUGAAAUCCCUCGGCUCAACCGGGGAACUGCGUCUGAUACUGGCGGGCUUGAAUUCGGGAGAGGGAUGUGGAAUUCCAGGUGUAGCGGUGAAAUGCGUAGAUAUCUGGAGGAACACCGGUGGCGAAGGCGGCAUCCUGGACCGACAUUGACGCUGAGGCGCGAAAGCCAGGGGAGCAAACGGG
rnacentral:rRNA from 1 species